UUCUGAUGAAGGUAAUGGUUGUUUGCUGUAGGCCUAUGUCAUCUAUCCACACACAACGGCUAGGCUGAGGCUAGACAUUUGCUCGCCAGAGCAGUUCAGGAGGCGCGCGUUGACGGCUUUCUGUUGUACUACCACACGAGAAUUCUCCACACGAUACAUCUAGAGAAAGUCACUUUACUAGCCUAGGAAGGAGGCCUACAUUUUUUCGAUAUACUUAUCACUUCGAGGGACUUUGUUAGCCGCGAUGCAUUACAAUGAGAACUGUGGAAGACAGCAAGCUACAACUAAGAAUGGAGGAGGAAGCCGAUUUGCAAUUAAGUACCCAAUCUAUGAUUUGUGGACACAUUUGGAUCUACUGUAGUGAUAAGUUUCUGUAGUACUGAUGUGUGCAGCCAUACACAGAUGCGCCACCAUAUCUUUGUAGCAGCUACGAACGACAGGAUAAAACAGAGGAUGUUGCUGCUCACCGCACCCACUUUGCUGAAUAACUGUAACUUAUGAUAAACUUGGAUACUUGAACCCUGUGAAUUUAUUAACUAGACUUAAAUUUUCUUCUUAUUUGAGCG